GGGACACGUGGUAUCCUGUCUGAAUAUGGGGGGACCAUCCUCCAAGGCUAAAUACUCCUGACUGACCGAUAGUGAACCAGUACCGUGAGGGAAAGGCGAAAAGAACCCCGGCGAGGGGAGUGAAAAAGAACCUGAAACCGUGUACGUACAAGCAGUGGGAGCACGCUUAGGCGUGUGACUGCGUACCUUUUGUAUAAUGGGUCAGCGACUUAUAUUCUGUAGCAAGGUUAACCGAAUAGGGGAGCCGAAGGGAAACCGAGUCUUAACUGGGCGUUAAGUUGCAGGGUAUAGACCCGAAACCCGGUGAUCUAGCCAUGGGCAGGUUGAAGGUUGGGUAACACUAACUGGAGGACCGAACCGACUAAUGUUGAAAAAUUAGCGGAUGACUUGUGGCUGGGGGUGAAAGGCCAAUCAAACCGGGAGAUAGCUGGUUCUCCCCGAAAGCUAUUUAGGUAGCGCCUCGUGAAUUCAUCUCCGGGGGUAGAGCACUGUUUCGGCAAGGGGGUCAUCCCGACUUACCAACCCGAUGCAAACUGCGAAUACCGGAGAAUGUUAUCACGGGAGACACACGGCGGGUGCUAACGUCCGUCGUGAAGAGGGAAACAACCCAGACCGCCAGCUAAGGUCCCAAAGUCAUGGUUAAGUGGGAAACGAUGUGGGAAGGCCCAGACAGCCAGGAUGUUGGCUUAGAAGCAGCCAUCAUUUAAAGAAAGCGUAAUAGCUCACUGGUCGAGUCGGCCUGCGCGGAAGAUGUAACGGGGCUAAACCAUGCACCGAAGCUGCGGCAGCGACACUAUGUGUUGUUGGGUAGGGGAGCGUUCUGUAAGCCUGUGAAGGUGUGCUGUGAGGCAUGCUGGAGGUAUCAGAAGUGCGAAUGCUGACAUAAGUAACGAUAAAGCGGGUGAAAAGCCCGCUCGCCGGAAGACCAAGGGUUCCUGUCCAACGUUAAUCGGGGCAGGGUGAGUCGACCCCUAAGGCGAGGCCGAAAGGCGUAGUCGAUGGGAAACAGGUUAAUAUUCCUGUACUUGGUGUUACUGCGAAGGGGGGACGGAGAAGGCUAUGUUGGCCGGGCGACGGUUGUCCCGGUUUAAGCGUGUAGGCUGGUUUUCCAGGCAAAUCCGGAAAAUCAAGGCUGAGGCGUGAUGACGAGGCACUACGGUGCUGAAGCAACAAAUGCCCUGCUUCCAGGAAAAGCCUCUAAGCAUCAGGUAACAUCAAAUCGUACCCCAAACCGACACAGGUGGUCAGGUAGAGAAUACCAAGGCGCUUGAGAGAACUCGGGUGAAGGAACUAGGCAAAAUGGUGCCGUAACUUCGGGAGAAGGCACGCUGAUAUGUAGGUGAAGUCCCUCGCGGAUGGAGCUGAAAUCAGUCGAAGAUACCAGCUGGCUGCAACUGUUUAUUAAAAACACAGCACUGUGCAAACACGAAAGUGGACGUAUACGGUGUGACGCCUGCCCGGUGCCGGAAGGUUAA
rnacentral:rRNA from 1 species